rnacentral:rRNA from 1 species
AGCAGCCGCGGUAAUUCCAGCUCCAAUAGCGUAUAUUAAAGUUGUUGCAGUUAAAAAGCUCGUAGUUGAAUUUCGGGAUCAAAUUGUCGGUCGUGCCUCGGUACGUACUGGCGUUAUUGGUUCCUCCCUUCUGAAGAACCGCGAUGUCAUUAAUUUGGUGUCGCGGGGAAUCAGGACUGUUACUUUGAAAAAAUUAGAGUGUUUAAAGCAGGCUCGCGCUUGAAUACAUUAGCAUGGAAUAAUGAAAUAGGACGUUUGAUUCUAUUUUGUUGGUUUUCUAGGAUCGACGUAAUGAUUAAUAGGGAUAGUUGGGGGGCAUUAGUAUUCAAUUGUCAGAGGUGAAAUUCUUGGAUUUAUUGAAGACUAACUACUGCGAAAGCAUUUGCCAGGAUGUUUUCAUUAAUCAAGAACGAAAGUUAGGGAUCGAAGACGAUCAGAUACCGUCGUAGUCUUAACCAUAAACUAUACCGACUAGGGAUCGGGAUGAUGUUUAAUUUUUAAUGUACUCUAUUCGGGCGUC